rnacentral:misc_RNA from 1 species
AAGUCGUAACAAGGUUUCCGUAGGUGAACCUGCGGAAGGAUCAUUAUCGAGUUAAACUCAUAUUUGGCUUGGAUUGGCUGUGCAUGCUCUUCGGAGCGUUGAACGUCAACUCUGGGUUCCGAAUGUUUGACUUACACACCUGUGCACCUUUGACUCGUCCGAAUCCACGCACGCGAUUUGUUUCGCGUACGGUCUGCUCCUUGUGAGUGGGAUUUUUGAGCGUUGCGGUGAGUUGAAAAAUUCAUAGCUCGCUCUGGGAUGAAGACUUGUCUUUUUUUACACCAUUUUGUAUGUCUCUUGAAAAUCCUCGGUUGCUCUGUAAUGGGGUGAUCGUAUUAAAUUAAAUACAACUUUCAGCAACGGAUCUCUUGGCUCUC